AUACGGAGGGGGCUAGCGUUGUUCGGAAUUACUGGGCGUAAAGCGUACGUAGGCGGACUGAUCAGUUGGGGGUGAAAUCCCAGGGCUUAACCCUGGAACUGCCUUCAAUACUGUCAGUCUUGAGUUUGGGAGAGGUGAGUGGAAUUCCUAGUGUAGAGGUGAAAGUCGUAGAUAUUAGGAGGAACACCAGUGGCGAAGGCGGCUCACUGGCCCAUUACUGACGCUGAGGUACGAAAGCGUGGGGAGCAAACAGGAUUAGAUACCCUAGUAGUCC
rnacentral:rRNA from 1 species